AGUACUUGCUUGGAACAAAAUCAGACUCCAAGUCUCCCGAUACCGGUAGCUCACCCAUGAGAAGAUAUAGAACCUUGUUCAACGUCACCUCAUCUAUACCAAUAAUUCUCCCAUGAACCACAUUGGAUCCGUCUUCCGGAUCAUAAUUCAUCACAUAUUUUGUUAACAAUGCUAUAUCUAUUGGUGGUAGCCUCUGCGAAAACUUCAGAAAUCCAUACAUCUGCGCCGUGCGAAACUCUCUCUAUCUCCUUUGCGACCAAAAAAUAUCCAUAGCGACUGGCUCCAUGCUGGUCACUAUCACAUACUUCAUUGGUGGCAAUGCUCCCUUCGUCUUG
rnacentral:lncRNA from 1 species